rnacentral:rRNA from 1 species
UCAAGAAACUUCCACAAUGGGCGAAAGCCUGAUGGAGCGACGUCGCGUGAUGGACGAAGUGCUUCGGCACGUAAACAUCUUUUAUGUGGGAUGAAAUUAUUGACAGUACCACAUGAAUAAGGGGCUCCUAACUCUGUGCCAGCAGGAGCGGUAAUACAGAGGCCCCAAGCGUUAUCCGGAAUCACUGGGCGUAAAGGGUGUCGAGGCGGUUGUAUUAGUCGUUCGUAAAAUCUACGAGCUUAACUUGUAGGCGGCGAACGAAACGGUACGACUUGAGGUUUGGAGAGGUGCGUGGAACUCACGGUGUAGGGGUGAAAUCCGUUGAUAUCAUGGGGAACACCAAAGGCGAAGGCAGCGCACUGGCCAAAAUCUGACGCUCACACACGAAAGCUAGGGUAGCGAAGAGGAUUAGAUACCCCAGUAGUCCCUGAGCGGGCUGGCAAGGCGCAU